GUAACUUGUAAUUAGGAGAAUAUUGAAAGAAAGACUGGUGAAAAGAUUUGAUAGCACAAGGUUAAUUAGUAGACUGUCUUCCAAUUUGGAAAGAUACCCUUUUUGCACAAGCACUGAUGGCAGUUGCGUAAGCCAAUGGUGCCACAGCUAAUGCACAAGGUGAUGCAGCUACCAUGAGGCCCAAAGCUCGGUAAAUUGAUCCUCUGCAAGCUGUAGUACUAAAGAAAGGCCAUUUGAAAAGGAAUGGACCAAGAAAAGCAACUGCUAGAGAUAAUAACACAACUGCUUUACUGUACUGCUCGCCAAACUUAUCUAGCCAUCUUUGGAGUCUUGGUUUACUUAGCUGAGCCUCUUCUGUCAGCUGCACAAUUCUGCUAAGCAUGGACUCUUUCCAUGUCUUCUUUGCCUUCACUAUCAACAUACCAUCCAGGUUUCGUGCACCUCCUGGAAUAUUGUCCCCCUCUUUCUUAUCUAAAGGUUUGACUUCUCCCGUCAAAUGUUCAAUAGUAAUUGUUGAUCUACCUCGGGAAACUUCACAAUCCACUGGUACUGACUCACCAGCUUUAACCAAUAUAAAUGAGCCAACUUCCAGGUCACUCACAGGAACUUCAAUAUAUGACAAGUCAGUGAAACUAGGCAAAGUUUGAUUGUCUACGUGCAGCACAAGAGCAAAUUCAGGAUGGUUUUCUUUUAAUUCCUUUACGUCACCCUUGGAGCGACUAGUGAAAUACUCUUCAGCUAUGUGAGCUAAAUUGAACAUUGCAAGAAGCAAGCCACCUUCCAAUACGUUCCCCAUAAAAACUGAUGCAAAAGCUGCGAGAGCCAUGAGUACAUGAAUAUUGAUUUUACCACCAGUAAUGUCCACUAAUGCAUCAAGUGAUGCUGAGACCCCAACGAGAGGAAAGGCAAUGAGAGCGAAAAUACGCUGGAGAGGCAGUACAGCGGGCUCGGGAAGAAAGUAAGGACAAACAGCAGCAGCAAUAAACAAAACCGCUGAGCAACAGCAAAGCUCUAAAUUCUCUCUCAAGUAAUUCGCCAACUGGGUCCAUCUGAUAGCAUUUGCGAACUUGAGAAAUACCUCCUGAAAUUUCGUGAGCUUCCCGUCGCCUUCGUCAUGACCAUGGUGGUGGUGGUGGUGAUGGUGAUGAAAAUGGUAAGAGUAAAAGCGAAAUUAGAGAAAUUAUUAGAGGAACAAUGAUUUUUAUGGUUGUUCCGUUGUGUGGAAGUUUACACUAGUGGUUUUGAGAAAUUGACACGUUAAAG
rnacentral:misc_RNA from 1 species